UACGUAGGGUGCAAGCGUUAAUCGGAAUUACUGGGCGUAAAGCGUGCGCAGGCGGUUGUGCAAGACAGAUGUGAAAUCCCCGGGCUUAACCUGGGAACUGCAUUUGUGACUGCACGGCUAGAGUGUGUCAGAGGGGGGUAGAAUUCCACGUGUAGCAGUGAAAUGCGUAGAUAUGUGGACGGAAUACCGAUGGCGAAGGCAGCCCCCUGGGAUAACACUGACGCUCAUGCACGAAAGCGUGGGGAGCAAACAGG
rnacentral:rRNA from 1 species